rnacentral:rRNA from 1 species
CUCGUUGGUGACAGCGGAGGGAUCAUUG